GACAGAGGAUGCAAGCGUUAUCCGGAAUGAUUGGGCGUAAAGCGUCUGUAGGUGGCUUUUUAAGUCCGCCGUCAAAUCCCAGGGCUCAACCCUGGACAGGCGGUGGAAACUACCAAGCUGGAGUACGGUAGGGGCAGAGGGAAUUUCCGGUGGAGCGGUGAAAUGCGUAGAGAUCAGGCGGAACACCCGUAGCGAAGGCGGCCAGCUGGGCCGUCCCUGACACUGAGGCGCGAAGGCGUGGGGAGCGAACGGG
rnacentral:rRNA from 1 species